ensembl:lncRNA
CUUCUCAGUCAUGUUGACACUGGUCCACUACCAGGUCAUGUGUCUUCUCAGUCAGGUUGAGACUGGUCUACUACCAGGUCAUGUGUCUUCUCAGUCAUGUUGACACUGGUCUACUACCAUGUCAUGUGUCUUCUCAGUCAUGUUGACACUGGUCUACUACCAGGUCAUGUGUCUUCUCAGUCAUGUUGACACUGGUCUACUACCACGUCAUGUGUCUUCUCAGUCAUGUUGACACUGGUCUACUACCAGAUCAUGUGUCUUCUCAGUCAUGUUGACACUGGUCCACUACCAGGUCAUGUGUCUCCUCAGUCAUGUUGACACUGGUCCACUACCAGGUCAUGUGUCUCCUCAGUCAUGUUGACACUGGUCUACUACCAUGUCAUGUGUCUUCUCAGUCAUGUUGACACUGGUCUACUACCAUGUCAUGUGUCUUCUCAGUCAUGUUGACACUGGUCUACUACCAGGUCAUGUGUCUUCUCAGUCAUGUUGACACUGGUCUACUACCACGUCAUGUGUCUUCUCAGUCAUGUUGACACUGGUCUACUACCAGAUCAUGUGUCUUCUCAGUCAUGUUGACACUGGUCCACUACCAGGUCAUGUGUCUCCUCAGUCAUGUUGACACUGGUCCACUACCAGGUCAUGUGUCUUCUCAGUCAUGU